UACUCGCGUCGGAACCUGCAGACACUUGU
rnacentral:piRNA from 1 species